AUGAUGUCGUUGGUGUUCUCUC
rnacentral:siRNA from 1 species